UACAGAGGUCCCAAGCAUUGUUCGGAUUUACUGGGCGUAAAGGGUGCGUAGGUGGCGGGGUAAGUCUGGUGUGAAAGCUCCGAGCUCAACUCGGAAAAGCAUUGGAAACUAUCCCGCUUGAGGGUCGGAGGGGAGACUGGAAUUCUCGGUGUAGCAGUGAAAUGCGUAGAUAUCGAGAGGAACACCAGUGGCGAAGGCGAGUCUCUGGACGACUCCUGACACUGAGGCACGAAAGCUAGGGGAGCAAACAGG
rnacentral:rRNA from 1 species